GAUAGCGCGCUAUAGCGGCGCUACACGCAUCUUGACUGUGGUGCGCUACGCGAAGCUCGAUUUCACGUACGAAGAGUUAGCGUGCUAAUAGCGCGCUAGAUGUCAUUUAGCGCUGAAAAUUGGGCCUCUAGCGUUAGCGUCCCGCGUCUCUGACCUAAAAUUUUCGGCCCAAAAUGAAAUCGCUACGCGGGCUAAAGCCCAAGCCUACCAAUAGCGAAUACUAUGCCCCCAACCCUCCUCUCGAGCGAAACCCUAUCCCCACUCCCGUCCUCAUCUCAAACAGGAACCAUGGCGGCGGCCGACCAACGACCAACCAUGGCGACGGCCUCGAGCUGCCACUCCGGCGACUGACCUUCCUCACCACUCCCUCCCAGCGACGGGGUAUUCCUUCCACCAGGCGACGCAGCUCCCGGACGUUUCCUCUCGGCUGCUCCCUCCUGGCCACUUCCUCUGCUGACGGCGACGACCGCAUCCACAAGGCGACGGAGCACCCCGCGGCGACGGUGUCCACCAGGCGACCAUGAGCCAGCAAAUCCCGUCAGCAGGUGUUGGUGGCUCAAGCACUGCCUCAGUAGCAGCACCUGCACUCCCUCAAGUUGAUUCGGAUGACCCUGCGUGGAAGUAUUGCACUCUUCCAGAUGUGAACAAGAAGCAUUGGCAGUUGGAUUUCCACAUCAAUUUGAAGGGGCAGGCGUUGCUCGAAGGCUGAUAAUGGCACAUUAUAUCUUCUUAGUAGUGUACUUUGAUGUUCAUUAUAUGUGAGUAAAGAAUAAUAUAUCAAAAGAGGCUUGAUUAUUUUUGAAAAAAAAGAGCAUUCCAAUUGCUCUUUGAGAAAGAAAAAUGAAAUGUGCGGCUGUAAUCUGCUGCCAGUGAUGUGUUUCUUUUUUGGGAAAAAGAGGGCAUUCGGAUUGCGUAUUGUGAGAAAGGAA